AGUGGUACAGGGCUGUGAUAUGGUUUGGAUGUCUGUCCCCUUCAAAUCUCAUGAUGAAAUGCGAUCCCUAAUAUUGGAGGUAGAGCCUGGUGGGACCUGACUGGAUCAUGGGGGCAGAUCCCCAGGAAAGGCUUAGCGCCACAUCGCCUAGAAUGAAAUGGGUCAGCAUCUGACAUACUGCAUAAAUCACUGAACCAAUAUUUUCUAAAUGUAACAUGCAUGAUGGUACAAAAUCACACAUAGAUGAAAAUCAACUGGUCUUUGAAGAACUUUGAUUCAUUAGUGAGCUUGAAAACCCAACACAAUAAACAGAUAGUGGAAGUGGAAGGAGUAUCCCUAAGGAUGCAUUUAAGGAGAAAUGAUGUGACAGAAGAUUUGAAAGCAAAAAAGAAUCUAUCAGGAAGAUAAGAAAGCAAUUAUUAAACAAAAAUUAAGAAGCCAAUCGCCCUCCCAAGUUUCUACCCCUUGGUAACAUUACUGAUUCACACUAGUCAAAAGUGCUGAAUAAUUUGCUACAUGCCAUUGGAAAACUAUAUAACUUACUACUAAUAAAACACCUCACUUCUUUUUACUGUCUUUCUUCAUUUACCCAAGUCACCUCUUUUAAGAGCCAUCUUUGAUUUGCCUACAACACAUUCAUCUACACUGAUUGCUUGUACAAGAAAACAAUGCAACCCAGCAAUGUCAGAGACUGAAAGGUUGUCUUCUUGCUGUGUAAGAUUUACUGUGAAUAGAGGGAGGAUGUGGAAAAACGCUACAACCAUUGCUCCAGGGACUAUCUCUGCC
rnacentral:lncRNA from 1 species